ANACUGCAGUCGACGAGCUUCCGUUGAAUGACGUGCUUGCACUGAUUUUAACAAUGAAGCGAGUGGCGAACUGGUGAGUAACACGUGGGAAAUCUGCCCAGAAGCAGGGGAUAACACUUGGAAACAGGUGCUAAUACCGUAUAACAACAAAAUCCGCAUGGAUUUUGUUUGAAAGGUGGCUUCGGCUAUCACUUCUGGAUGAUCCCGCGGCGUAUUAGUUAGUUGGUGAGGUAAAGGCCCACCAAGACGAUGAUACGUAGCCGACCUGAGAGGGUAAUCGGCCACAUUGGGACUGAGACACGGCCCAAACUCCUACGGGAGGCAGCAGUAGGGAAUCUUCCACAAUGGACGAAAGUCUGAUGGAGCAAUGCCGCGUGAGUGAAGAAGGGUUUCGGCUCGUAAAACUCUGUUGUUAAAGAAGAACACCUUUGAGAGUAACUGUUCAAGGNUUGACGGUAUUUAACCAGAAAGCCACGGCUAACUACGUGCCAGCAGCCGCGGU
rnacentral:rRNA from 2 species